AUUGAACGCUGGCGGCAGGCCUAACACAUGCAAGUCGAACGAGUGGCGGAGUGGUGAGUAAUGUCUGAGAAACUGCCUGAUGGAGGGGGCUAACUACUGGAAAAGGUAGAUAAUACCGCAUAACAUCAGAUGUGACGCGAUGGGAUUAGCUAGUUGGUGGGGUAACGGCUCACCAAGGCGCCGAUCCCUAGCUGGUCUGAGAGGAUGACCAGCCACACUGGAACUGAGACACGGUCCAGACUCCUACGGGAGGCAGCAGUGGGGAAUAUUGCACAAUGGGCGCAAGCCUGAUGCAGCCAUGCCGCGUGUAUGAAGAAGGCCUUCGGGUUGUAAAGUACUUUCAGCGGGGAGGCGUUACCCGCAGAAGAAGCACCGGCUAACUCCGUGCCAGCAGCCGCGGUAAUAC
rnacentral:rRNA from 1 species